CCUACGGGGUGCAGCAGUGAGGAAUAUUGGUCAAUGGGCGGGAGCCUGAACCAGCCAAGCCGCGUGAGGGAAGAAGGUACCGCGCAUCGUAAACCUCUUUUGUCAGGGAACAAAGUCGGGCACUAGUCCCCGGCUGAGGGUACUUGACGAAAAAGCAUCGGCUAACUCCGUGCCAGCAGCCGCGGUAAUACGGAGGAUGCGAGCGUUAUCCGGAUUUAUUGGGUUUAAAGGGUGCGCAGGCGGCCUGUUAAGUCAGCGGUAAAAGCCCGGGGCUCAACCCCGGCGAGCCGUUGAAACUGGCGGGCUGGAGUGGGAGAGAAGUACGCGGAAUGCGCGGUGUAGCGGUGAAAUGCUUAGAUAUCGCGCAGAACCCCGAUUGCGAAGGCAGCAUACCGGCUCCACACUGACGCUGAGGCACGAAAGCGUGGGUAUCGAACAGGAUUAGAUACCCGAGUAGUC
rnacentral:rRNA from 1 species